rnacentral:rRNA from 1 species
GCUUGUCUCAAAGAUUAAGCCAUGCAUGUCUAAGUAUAAACAACUUUAUACCGUGAAACUGCGAACGGCUCAUUAUAUCAGUAAUUAUUUAUUUGAUGGUAACUUACUACAUGGAUAACCGUAGUAAUUCUAGAGCUAAUACAUGCAUAAAGUCCCAACUUUCGGGGAGGGAUGUAUUUAUUAGAUACAAAAUCAAUCCUGGCAACAGGCUCUUUGGUGAUUCAUAAUAACUGUUCGAAGCGCAUACCUUUUGGUGGCGCUAGUUCAUUCAAAUUUCUGCCCUAUCAGCUUUCGACGGUAGUGUAGUGGACUACCGUGGCUUUGACGGGUGACGAGGAAUUAGGGUUUGAUUUCGGAGAGGGAGCCUGAGAAAUGGCUACCACAUCCAAGGAAGGCAGCAGG